AGUGGUUUAGACCCUGGUUGCUGAUCAGAAAGUUGGUGGUUCAAAUCCACCAUCCACUC
rnacentral:tRNA from 1 species